AUUCCUCCAGCACCCCUACUGCAAGGAUUUUAAGAACUCUAUCUCAGGAUAAAGACCUGAGGCAUCUGGCUGCGUGCAUUUCCAGCUUUGUGACUCCUCCGCUCCACAUCCGUCCAGCCCCAGCCCUGGAGGACACACCCUUACUGCCACGCCAUCUUUGUUUCCUGACCUGGUGACACCAGCUUACCCUCUCUUAGUCAUCUGGUCUCCUCUUCAACUUUGCCUCAAACUUACACAGACAAUUCUGGACUUCCAGAUAUUUGGAUUUUAGAGUUUUGCACAUUAGAACCCACAGAUGCCACCAGCGUACCUUCUGUCUUCUGUUGUUGAUUUCACACGACUUCCUGGAGACCUGAUGGCCAGACUCGCCUCUGAUGGAAAGCAACUGACCUCAAUUGACUGAGCAGGAAUGCCUGCAACUGGCAGGAUAGAACAUGUGGCCCAACGCUGAGCACAUCUUCCGCAUAUGUCCUCUGCAUGUGGCUUGUGAAUAAUGCUGUUUGGGAUCUGAUCUAUUUACUGGUUGUUCCACAUGAGUAUAUGCAGUUUUCCUUCUCUGAACCUGAUGUCAUUACUUCACUGUCAUAGCUUUACCUGGCUGGCUGCCUCCUGUCACACUAGCCCAUGCACUGGUCACAGAAAUACAUUUGGGCUAGAAAAAAACCAAGACCUUGAGUAAGCAAUUGCUCCAAUGGCUAAAUCUUGGGCAAGGCUUUCUCCUGGGACUUAUUGCUGGAAAAUUACACCAGACCUUCUCUACUUAGGUCACAAGAUGUACAUUGCUGGCCUCAGCUGGAUUUUCCCAGGGUCAGGUGCCCAUUCCUACCUAAUCAAAGGACACUUCUGCUGACCUGCACCUAGAAUACCCUGUUCUGUGCUGAUGACUCAGAUGUAAGAAUGAUGAAGUGCAUCGGCUGGCAUGCAGAGAACAAUAAGAAAAAGAACUGAGUUGUGGGAAGACAUGAGGAAAGGACAUGAGGCUCUUAAUAACAGCUGCCAAGUACUGCAGUCGGGAAUCUGGAGCAAAGUGAUUCAAUUCUGACCACUGCCUGUGAGUAAAUGGGAUUUUAUUUUUCAAUACUUUUGUUUAAUAGUACCUCCUUCAUUACAUGUGAACAGCACUCCAGGACAGUAAAUCAUGAAAUGGGAAUAAAGCCUGUAAUUUUAAUUAACAUAUUUUAAAAUGUUUCUAAUUUGUAUGCAUUUGAUCAAAUUUUCAUUUGCAUUGAGCUAUUUUUUUUCUUUCUCAUGUAAUGUUUGACAUUACCAUUUCUUUCUUUAAUGAAAUACUAAUAUUUAAUAAAAUAUAUUACAUCCUUAA
ensembl:lncRNA LINC01445 long intergenic non-protein coding RNA 1445